AACCAUAGAAACCUGCGGAGUACCUGCGGAGGGAUCAUUAUCGAGUGUGAACCCCCCCGUAAAAAGGGGGAGUUUCCUCCCGUCCUUUGCUGGGAACCCCCCUUUCAUUGGAAGGGGGGUUGCUUUCAGACCCUUUCUGCUUCGGCGGGGUUACCUGCCGAAACAACCUCAAAAAUUCUAAGUCAAAACUGUUCAGUCCGAGAAAAUUUUAAAAAAGCGAAAAACUUUCAACAACGGAUC
rnacentral:misc_RNA from 1 species